UUAAGCGACUAAGCGUACACGGUGGAUGCCCUGGCAGUCAGAGGCGAUGAAGGACGUGCUAAUCUGCGAAAAGCGUCGGUAAGGUGAUAUGAACCGUUAUAACCGGCGAUGUCCGAAUGGGGAAACCCAGUGUGAUUCGUCACACUAUCGUUAACUGAAUACAUAGGUUAACGAGGCGAACCGGGGGAACUGAAACAUCUAAGUACCCCGAGGAAAAGAAAUCAACCGAGAUUCCCCCAGUAGCGGCGAGCGAACGGGGAGCAGCCCAGAGUCUGAAUCAGCUUGUGUGUUAGUGGAACGGUCUGGAAAGUCCGACGGUACAGGGUGAUAGUCCCGUACACCAAAAUGCACAGGUUGUGAACUCGAAGAGUAGGGCGGGACACGUGGUAUCCUGUCUGAAUAUGGGGGGACCAUCCUCCAAGGCUAAAUACUCCUGACUGACCGAUAGUGAACCAGUACCGUGAGGGAAAGGCGAAAAGAACCCCGGCGAGGGGAGUGAAAAAGAACCUGAAACCGUGUACGUACAAGCAGUGGGAGCACCUUCGGGUGUGACUGCGUACCUUUUGUAUAAUGGGUCAGCGACUUAUAUUCUGUAGCAAGGUUAACCGUAUAGGGGAGCCGCAGGGAAACCGAGUCUUAACUGGGCGUUAAGUUGCAGGGUAUAGACCCGAAACCCGGUGAUCUAGCCAUGGGCAGGUUGAAGGUUGGGUAACACUAACUGGAGGACCGAACCGACUAAUGUUGAAAAAUUAGCGGAUGACUUGUGGCUGGGGGUGAAAGGCCAAUCAAACCGGGAGAUAGCUGGUUCUCCCCGAAAGCUAUUUAGGUAGCGCCUCGUGAACUCAUCUUCGGGGGUAGAGCACUGUUUCGGCUAGGGGGUCAUCCCGACUUACCAACCCGAUGCAAACUACGAAUACCGAAGAAUGUUAUCACGGGAGACACACGGCGGGUGCUAACGUCCGUCGUGAAGAGGGAAACAACCCAGACCGCCAGCUAAGGUCCCAAAGUCAUGGUUAAGUGGGAAACGAUGUGGGAAGGCACAGACAGCCAGGAUGUUGGCUUAGAAGCAGCCAUCAUUUAAAGAAAGCGUAAUAGCUCACUGGUCGAGUCGGCCUGCGCGGAAGAUGUAACGGGGCUAAACCAUGCACCGAAGCUGCGGCAGCGACACUAUGUGUUGUUGGGUAGGGGAGCGUUCUGUAAGCCUGCGAAGGUGACCUGUGAGGGUUGCUGGAGGUAUCAGAAGUGCGAAUGCUGACAUAAGUAACGAUAAAGCGGGUGAAAAGCCCGCUCGCCGGAAGACCAAGGGUUCCUGUCCAACGUUAAUCGGGGCAGGGUGAGUCGACCCCUAAGGCGAGGCCGAAAGGCGUAGUCGAUGGGAAACAGGUUAAUAUUCCUGUACUUGGUGUUACUGCGAAGGGGGGACGGAGAAGGCUAUGUUAGCCGGGCGACGGUUGUCCCGGUUUAAGCAUGUAGGCUGAUUGUCCAGGCAAAUCCGGAUAAUCAAGGCUGAGGUGUGAUGACGAGGCACUACGGUGCUGAAGUAACAAAUGCCCUGCUUCCAGGAAAAGCCUCUAAGCAUCAGGUAACAUCAAAUCGUACCCCAAACCGACACAGGUGGUCAGGUAGAGAAUACCAAGGCGCUUGAGAGAACUCGGGUGAAGGAACUAGGCAAAAUGGUGCCGUAACUUCGGGAGAAGGCACGCUGGUGUGUAGGUGAAGUCCCUGCGGAUGGAGCUGAGACCAGUCGAAGAUACCAGCUGGCUGCAACUGUUUAUUAAAAACACAGCACUGUGCAAACACGAAAGUGGACGUAUACGGUGUGACGCCUGCCCGGUGCCGGAAGGUUAAUUGAUGGGGUUAUCCGUAAGGAGAAGCUCUUGAUCGAAGCCCCGGUAAACGGCGGCCGUAACUAUAACGGUCCUAAGGUAGCGAAAUUCCUUGUCGGGUAAGUUCCGACCUGCACGAAUGGCGUAAUGAUGGCCAGGCUGUCUCCACCCGAGACUCAGUGAAAUUGAACUCGCUGUGAAGAUGCAGUGUACCCGCGGCAAGACGGAAAGACCCCGUGAACCUUUACUAUAGCUUGACACUGAACAUUGAGCCUUGAUGUGUAGGAUAGGUGGGAGGCUUUGAAGCGUGGACGCCAGUCUGCGUGGAGCCAACCUUGAAAUACCACCCUUUAAUGUUUGAUGUUCUAACGUUGGCCCCUGACCGGGGUUGCGGACAGUGUCUGGUGGGUAGUUUGACUGGGGCGGUCUCCUCCCAAAGCGUAACGGAGGAGCACGAAGGUUAGCUAAUCCUGGUCGGACAUCAGGAGGUUAGUGCAAUGGCAUAAGCUAGCUUGACUGCGAGCGUGACGGCGCGAGCAGGUGCGAAAGCAGGUCAUAGUGAUCCGGUGGUUCUGAAUGGAAGGGCCAUCGCUCAACGGAUAAAAGGUACUCCGGGGAUAACAGGCUGAUACCGCCCAAGAGUUCAUAUCGACGGCGGUGUUUGGCACCUCGAUGUCGGCUCAUCACAUCCUGGGGCUGAAGUAGGUCCCAAGGGUAUGGCUGUUCGCCAUUUAAAGUGGUACGCGAGCUGGGUUUAGAACGUCGUGAGACAGUUCGGUCCCUAUCUGCCGUGGACGCUGGAGAAUUGAGGGGGGCUGCUCCUAGUACGAGAGGACCGGAGUGGACGCAUCACUGGUGUUCGGGUUGUCAUGCCAAUGGCACUGCCCGGUAGCUAAAUGCGGAAGAGAUAAGUGCUGAAAGCAUCUAAGCACGAAACUUGCCCCGAGAUGAGUUCUCCCUGAGACUUUAAGUCUCCUGAAGGAACGUUAAAGACGAUGACGUUGAUAGGCCGGGUGUGUAAGCGCAGCGAUGCGUUGAGCUAACCGGUACUAAUGAACCGUGAGGCUUAACCUU
rnacentral:rRNA from 1 species